rnacentral:lncRNA from 1 species
AUCAGCCUUCAGCCAGUGAGAGUUGCUUGUAAUAUAAAAUGGAUAGGUUGGGGCAAAAGCAAAGCAAACAGGGUUUGCUCUUGAAUGAGGCGCAGAGAGAUGGGAAGUUUCGAAGGGUGGUUGCCCCUCUCUAGCCGAUGAUUUCCACAGAAAAUCAACAGCCCUUAAGCUGCCUUCUGUCGAUCUUCAUGCUAACCACUCCCGAUCAGAUUAGAGGGUGCACAUAUCAUAUAUAUAUAUAUAUAUAUAGAGAGAGAGAGAGAGAGAGAGAUGAAAUUGAUGGUUCUUUGAUAGACAUAUGGAUAGAUAGAUAUACCCAGUUUAACUGGUGGCUUGUUGUUGUUGUUGGAUCUGUCGAUGGUCUUGAUAUUGGAACGGAGGGAGUAUUAUUAUUAUUCAUUACUACGAGAGGCUGUGAUGAUAUUUUUCUAUUCUAUCAGAGCAAACCCAAUCGGGCAUGGUGAAUCUGAUCCGUAUCUUGGCUGGGCAACCCAGAUGAGCAUGUGAUUUGAUUCCAUCCAUGGAUCUUUCUCACGUCCAACUGGAAGUUGCAGCCAUGGCGGAAUCACAUCCCAUGUCUGAUCAUUCACAGAUCUGAGCCUCGCACACUAUUCUUUAUUUCUUGCUUAAAAUUUUUGUAUAUUUUUUGUUAUAGGUUUGUUGAUGCAUUUUUGAUUAUAUUAUAUAUUUGUAUUAUGCCAUUUAUUUAUUCAUUUUCUAAUAAAAAAUAUGUUUUUAUAUGUAGACUAUAAAUUCACAUAAAAUUAUUAAUAAGCCACAAUUUAAAGAAUUUUUUACAUAUUGAAAUAUCAUUUUUUAAUGCUUUUUAUAUCUGGGUAGAAUAAAAUUAAGAAAUUUAUAUUUGUACAUAAUUUUUUGAUAUUUUUAUACGAAUAUUGUUGUCAAAAAUUUUGUACCGUUACAUUAUGCAGAUAUUUUUUAUAUAAAAAUAUUAAAAAAUUAUGUAAAAAUAUUAAAAUUUUAAAAUUAAUUAGUUCGAUGACACACGUGCGGUUUAAAAGAAGCAUAUCUAACCAUUAGACUAUUUGAUGAAUUAUAUUUAGUUCAUAUGAUAUUAAUAAAUGUCAUUUAGUCUUUUAUUUUUUUAGCAGAUGAACUAUCUUGUGGACUAUAUUAUAAAAAAAAUUAAAAUAAUCUAUGAAUUUAAAAAAACUUCAAUUUCUUUUCACUCUUCCAUUUAAAUAUAAUUACAGAUUAUAUUUAGUCUAUCUGUUGGAGCUGGGAGGAUAAAAAAGAACUCUUUUAUGUAAAAAUGAUAAUUAGAUUCAAGUGUUUUAUAAGUUAAUUUAUUCAUAUUUAAAUUUUAUUGGGAUAAAUAGAUAAAUUAUAAAAUAUUUAUGUUUAAUUAAUUAUUAAUAAAGUUUUUUGAUAAAAAAUAUUAAGAUAAUGAAAUUAUUAGUUUUUUACGUAUAUUAAAGUGAGAGGUAAAGAGAUUAAGCUAGGAAUUAUAAGAGAGUUUUAUUAAUUAUAUAUAUUUUUAAAAAAAUUAUGAUUAAUAAUUAUUCAAUUAAUUGACAACGUAGACAUAAUAUUUACAAUGUAUAUAUUUUCCUUCUGCAAUGAUUUUUUUAUACUUCUUUUUGUCUUGGUCUAUUAUUCGGGUAAAGUCAAAAUUUUAACUAUUUUUUGUCUCUUCAAGAAAGACGAUGAACAAAGUUUUUUUUUUUAUAAUAAAAAUAGGCUUCCAUUAUAUUUUAAUCUUUACUAUCUUAAUUUUAUUUUUUUGAUUCUUCUUUUCACCGUCACCACCUAUAAGACAUAUUAUAUAGUAUUAGUUAUCAAAUAAUUUAUUUAUAUUUAAACUCAGCUUUAAAAAGAGGCUCUAUUUUAUAAAGAGUUUUUAUUUUAAUAAGUUUUUAUUAUAAAAUUUAAUCAAAUACUAUCUAGAGCCGGACUAUUUACCCUCCUUUUAUAAUAUAGAUAUAAAAAAUGAUAUAUAUUAUAAUUUUAUAUGUUGAUUAUUAAUUUUAUUUUGUUAGAUAAAAUCUAUGUAGUAAAAAUAAUGUUUAGGUGGUUGUCAGUUUCAUUAAUUAUAUCUAAGAAAAGUUGUUUCAUUAUAUCUUAUACUAGCAACAGUUCCGUGUCUUCGGUACUAUGGCCCAUAUAAUUUAUUAGGAUGAACGGAAAAUUUAAAAUUAUUUGUAUUUUAUUAAAUAGAAUUCAAUGUUUGAGACAAAAAAAAUUUAAUAUUACUCUUAUUAUAUUACCCUAAUAUGAGAUUACUUAAGAUAAAUCACUUUAACGAUAUUAUUGGUUUUUUGAAAUACUAUUAUACAAGUAUGUGAUCAUUUUUUUAACAAAUCUGAUCAACUUUAUAUAAGGAGGUAUUUGAUAAAAAUUGAAUGAAUCUGAAUAAAAAAAAUUAUUUAAUAAUUUACAUGUUUGAAACAUAUAAAUAACAAAAUUUUAUUAUUUUAUCCCUCUGAAAAUUUGUAACAUUGUUGUAAAUUUAUUUAAUUAUUUAAUAUAAUAAUUAAUAUUUUUUUAAUUUUUUAAUUCUUUUUUACUUCAUUCAACUGUUUAUUCAGUCAUUUAACUAGUAUAGUAAAACAGGGUUAAAACGGGGAAAGCAAGAAGCAAACACUAGGGCAAGCAAGUUAUAGUAUAUAGAGAGACAAGAAAGGGCCUUUUUAAAAUCAAUCUCAUUAGUUUAAGUAUGAGGCUGAAAUUGGGGGCAGAGAGAAGGGAUGUUUCUAAGGGUGGUUACCCCUCUGUGUCAUUACUCCAUUAAAGCCGAUGAUCUACCUCUCGUGCCUGUAUUAAAUCAACAACCCUUUUCCCUCCUCCUCAUCCCCCCUCCUUCUCCUCUUCCCUGCUGGAGCUCAACUUUCAGUUGUUCUCUCCCUUUAAACUUGUAACUGUGUGAAUGAGGCUGUGAUGAUGUCUUAUAAAGAAAGGCAGACCAGGUCCGAAUCAAUCGUAGCUUGGCAACAAAUCUGAUGGUCUGAUGUGAGAGAAAUGGAGAGAAAUAUAUGGAGUUUCCAACUCCUCUUUUCCUCUUUUUUUUUUCUCUCUCAUACAUGGCAACUGUUGUUGCAGCCGGUUUGAUCUUUGUCUGAUUAAAGGCGAAUCUGAGCCCCCUUGAAAAUUGAAAUUGGAUUUUUUUUGGUUUUACAACGUUGUGAAAUUGUGCCAAGUAUUCUAUAAACCCUGGACCCCUGGUAUUGAGAUUUCAAUUUUCUCACUUAUGUAUGGAAAAACGUAGGGUUAGGGUUGGAUAGAGACUGAAUUUUAUCCCAUUUUUAAUGAAAAAGUGAGAUUUAAUUUGUUUUCUCUUAAAUAAUUAGGAAAGUGCACUAUUAACGAGGGUUUUUUUUUUGUGGGGAAAAUUCUGGCUCAAAAUUUGUUAAAAGUUGGUCGAAUCAAGUCUCUGUAUCUCCAUAGCUAAUUAGUUUCUGACCAAAAUGUUUGUAGCAAUUCUACUAUAUAUAUUGAUAAAAGAUGGUGAUAAAAGGUCUAUAUUCGAAAUGAAUUAUAGUACUUGUAUACAUUAAAUGUUUUGGGAAUAGAAAGAUCUACGAGACAUCCAAUAACAAUGCUGAAAGAAACAUGGUGGGAAAGAAAGGGGGAGGCUUCAGAAGAAAGAAAAUAAACAAAAGAAGAGGGUGACAAGUAUAGAGGUGAUGUCCGAAUCACCAACAUUCUUUAUUGCACUUGAUUUUAUCUUGUCAUCUGAUGAAGAAGAAUGUGCUUCAGCAGGUGCGGGUGCGGUGGCGUUGCUGCUGCCAAGCUUGGACACAGGAGGUAGUGGUGGAUCAACGAUCUCUGCAAUACUAAGGGGUUUGGCAGGAGGUAAAGGGGGCGGCAGUGUGGCCGGAUCAAUUGUGGUAGCCAUACUCCCCACCAUAGCUGUCGAUAUUGUAUAUGCUUGGGGAUUGGAUUCAUUAAAAUAAGAACAUGGAUUCCCUGCACAACCAAAUGAUAUGAAUUUCAUUCAGCAUCUUAACCAAGCAACUCUUGCUUGGGAUAAUUUUCAAAUGUGCAGCAUGGUAAUGCAAUGUAACAAAGACAUAAACCGAGUAUAAUUUGGUGGUACUUACUUAGGAAUGAGCUUGCUGUUGCUGGGUAAUCGGUUACGAAGCCAUCAAUCUUCAUGUCAACGAGAGUAGCUAGCUCUACAUUAGGAUCUGCGAAGUAAUCCAAACUGAGGAAGAUGAAUUCAUUCCUGAUAGGGUAGGCAUAUACGGAGAUAUUUGCAGCAUGCAAUUCCUCAAUAACUUUGGUGGUGUUGGUGGUAAAGUAGGCUGAAUUUUGUUGAAUGAAUGAACUUUUCUCGAGAACAACUACAUCAGCAUAUUUCUUCACUUCUGCCAGCACUUCCUUAGGUGCAUUACUUAUUGGCAAUCUAACAAAUAAUACUCUUUCGUAAGUUGGGAUAUUUUUCUUGAAUUCGGAUAGUACCGAGCUAUCGUCGGACUGAAUCAUAACCCUUUGAGUAGAUUGCUUGUCGAAGCUGGCGUUGGCCAACGCAGUGGUGACAACAUCAACUAAACUAAAACCCUUUUGCGAUGCUAGAUAGGCAGCAUUCUGGGAAUAAAAUUAAAAAUAAAUAGAAACGUCAGCAAUUUAACUAGUCUAUUUUUUUGUUCUUUCUCUCUCUCUUUCAUAAGAGUGAGCUUAUUUCAUAGACACCGGACUCUUUUAGUUUUAGGAUAAAUGAAGAGCUGAUGUAACACAGACUCCGACUCCAGCUAGCUACUAUAGAUAGAUAUAGAAGUAGUAGUAAUUCUUAAAGAAAGAUGGGAAAGCUCACUUGUAUAUUAAUCAAAACUCCUACAACUUUCUUCGUCUUUGCAAGUUCUAAGAAAUCGGCCAAAGUCAUAAACUUGCCCAUGUUUUUGUGUCCUGGGUUUCUAUAGAUGUUGUAUUCCUUCAAAGGAGUUUCAAUUGUAGCUGCAAUGGGAUAAAGGUUUUUUGUCAGACAAGAUAUAUAGCUAGGGGGUNNNNNNNNNNNNNNNNNNNNNNNNNNNNNNNNNNNNNNNNNNNNNNNNNNNNNNNNNNNNNNNNNNNNNNNNNNNNNNNNNNNNNNNNNNNNNNNNNNNNAUUUACUCACGCUUGAGGGAUAGAAUUUCGUUCCAAGUGAGAUCAAAUGAGAAAACUCCACUUUGUGGUCUAAUUUCAGGGAUAAUAACAGAUCGGUCCAUAAAAGCUGCGAGUACAGUAGUAUAUGCAGAGAGAUCGACAUCACCCAUGCAGAAGGCAACUCCAUCUUUUGACAUUUGGACAUUGCAAUCGAUUAUAUCCGCACCGUCGUCAAUGGCUUUCUGGUAGGCAAGGUCUGUGCAACCAGGGUAGUCUCCACUAGCUCCAUUGUGAGUUAUGAUCAAACCUAUAAAUUAAUUAGGCAAAGUAAUAUGUGUUGUACUUGUAUACUGCCUACUAUCACUAGCAAGUGAAUAUUAAAACUGCUCUGAUAAAUUUUACAUAGACAGCUUUUACCCUAUAAUAUAUAUAACAUAAUAAUUUGUACGCACGCGCAGUCGGUCCUGAUCUCACCUGUCUGAGCUCUAGUUGUAAUGUUCUGGCUCUGAGCAAAGCAUACUGCACCAAUUAAGAAGAGGAGUUUAGAAGUUGGUUAGGUUUGUAAACAUGCAAGAAUUACAAAAUGAGUUUGUUUAUUGGUCUGUCCGUCCGCAUACCGAUGGAAUCUGAUGCAGUGGAAGGGAAAUCCGAAAGCACACCAUCAACAGAAAAAUGAUUGUUGUCGAUAAAUUGGAGGUACUCAUUAACUGGAUUAAAACUGUAAUUGUAAAUAAAGUUAUCAUUUGCAAAAUCAGAAGCAUAUACUUGAAGACCUAUUUUGUGUGCAUCAACUACAAGUGUAGUUGGUGGUUCCGAAAACUUAUCCUUCACCGGAACUAUGUAGGUUUUAGGGACAAGAAUAGCUGAUGCAAAUGGCUUGAUAGCUGCAAGAUUGUCCAGUAUUGAACCAUAUUUUUGCAUGGUUGUGGGCUCAACCUCGUCUUUCCCCAAUAUCUUCAAGAUGAGCUUUGUGCGGGUUUUGUCCACUUUCCCACUCAUAUACUUCAAGAAACCUAUUUCUGGCGACGAGAUGUGGGUUGGCACCCAAAACGUGGAGGAUUCCGAUAUGUAUUCUGCCACACUCAGAUUGUGCUGGUUGUAGAACAUAUCAUACUGCAUUAUAUCAAGCAAUCAAUUAAUUUAACCAAAUUACAUAAGAGUCCGACCAAAGUUGUGUCGAAUACGUGAGGUUGGUUGGAUAUGAUUAUAAGGGUUAAAAAGUUAUGUUUAUUCUAGUACAUAUAUAAAUUAUAUAUCAUCAGACAGACAUACAUACCUCAACAUUUAGCCAUAUAUUUUUAGUUAUCUCUCCGAGGUAGUCAGGAGACGAGAUUGAAAAAGCAUCAUCGAACGAGUUUGUUCGAGUUAAUACGCUUUGUACAUCUGCGGGGGAUCAUCAAACCGAAUUAUUUUUAAAGAAAACAAAAAUAUAUAAUUAAUUAAUGGUGUUCAAUAUAUAUGCAUGCAUGAGGUAGUGUUAAUUAGAUCUUACAAGUUAUAGGAUCUUGGAGAUCAUCCAAGUUAUAGUCCAGAGCAAACCAGCCAUGAAGAUCCCGGCCAUUGACGUUGUAAGUCUUGUCUCCCUUUGGGAAGGCACGCGCUAUUGUUGUUGAUUUGUCAAUGAGGAUUUGUGAUGCGCAAAUUCCCAUAUUGUCCUUUGUAAGAUGAAGAUUGCAGUACAUAAUUGCACCCGGACGACUUGUCUGCAUAGCCAAAACAUAUCCAUAAGCACUCGACUCUGGAGCUACCCCAGAGUAUCCACCCCGUGCUACAACCUCCGGUGGACCUCCUGCAUAUAUAUCCGCAUGCAUUCGCUCAAUCAAAAUUAAUAAUAAAUACAUUAAUUAAUUAAGUUAACCCCCACAUGACCAACAGUACCCACCCACCAUUCAAAGUUAAAAAUUUCUUGUUGGACACUACCACCGGGCCUUCUGUUUGGGGUUUUCCUCCUCCUUUAGGACGUUCAUGCGGGGGUUUUGGUGUCGGCUCAUGAUCUUUUCCGCCUUUAGAAUCAUCGUUUGGGACUACUUUCUCUACUACACUACUACUACUACUACUUGAAUCCACCGCCAACAACAAUAAAACAAAAAACAAUUGCCGGAACAUUUUUUAAUUCAUGCACCUGUACCUGUACCUGUACCUGUAUGUAUUAUCAUAAAUAAAUAAAUAAAUCUACAAAAUUAAACUUGUUCAAAUAAAACCAAAAGAAGAACUAAUUAACUUGAUGAAUUAAUUAAUAUUGAUUGACUGGACUCCACAGAUUAGACAACAUUCCCCGUCGAGUUUCAAGGAGGGAGAAACUCAAAAGGGAAUGUAUUAUUAUGCAAAUGAAUGAAUUGGAAGGAGGUGAGAAGAGAGAUGGAGAGAAGAGAGAUUUGAUAGGAUUUAAUGAGUUUUGCUCCCACACAUUAUUCGCAUAAAUUGCUGGUCAUGCAUUAAUAUUGACCCCUUAUUAAUAUAGCAAAUUAAAGCUUAGCUGGAUAUUGUUUGGCGGCAGGCAGCCACUUCAAACUCUUGCGGUUUCAACAAUACGUACUAUCAUAAUACUAACCAACUAUUUUCAUCCAUUCUUAAUUUAGAUUUCGAAGGGUAUCUUAUAUUUUUGAAGAAUAUAUUUGUCAUUCAAUUAAAAAUACAAAAAUGUUACUCUUUCCGACCUGACCACUUUAAAAACUAAGAUAAAGUAAAUAAAGUAAAAUGUAACUAUGUCACUUAAUAAGGUCCAUUAAUAUAAAUAAAAUAAAAUUACUCAUCAUAAUUUUGUGAAACCACUAAGAAAAAAUUUAACACUUUAUUUAUUCUCUCUUUUUUUCUCCUUAAUAUGUAUAAAAUUUGUACUUUGUUCAUACUUAAGGACAGAGGGAGUAAAUAAGAUUAUAGGUAUCAUCCUAUGAAAAGGAUUAGUCAAAAAAAAAUUAUACCAACUAUAUAUGUCACUAAGAAGAAACUAGAAAGCCAAGGUUAACAAAAAAUCCUAAGAUUCUUCUUUUGGGAAUCUUUUUAACCAAACAUUUUAAUGAUUGAAAAUAUUAUUUUAAAAAUCUAAAUAUUAAAUUUCAUGUUAUCUUACUUAAAUUGAUAGCAUCAUAUAUAUAUAUAUAUAUGGACAAUGAUUCAUAAUAUCUAUUUGGUAUGGAUAAAAAAUGAGCAUAACAAUUAUUACCUCCGUCCCACAAUAAGUGCUUUUUUAGAAUUAAUAUUUUUUCUCAAAAUAAGUGAUGUGUUAGAACUCCAAUACAAUUUUUGCAAUAUUUUCUCAUAUAUACCCUUAUGCAUUCAAUUGUAUUUAUUGCAUCUUACUAUCACUACAAUUAAAUGACACUCAUUAACUCUUCAACUUCAAAGAAAAUAUAUCAAGGGUAUUUUUGCCAUUUUAGCUUGUGUAUUGGUAUGUGUGAUUUAAGUUAAAAAAAUACUUAUUAUGGGACGGAGGUAGUAUUAAAGAUGAAAUCGCUUAAUCGUCAUCCUAUUACGCCUGUGUUAUAUGUCCGCUAGGUGUUCUAGCGGAUGCAAGGGACAUAAGACAAUACAACAAAGUCACAUAAGUUAACCCAGACCAAAUCAGUACAGGAACAGCAUGUCAGCAACAACACAUAAAAAUUCACAAGACAUGAAGGUAACCCAGUCCGAAUCCAUAGCACAACAACAUCACAUCAAACAUUGCACAUCAAACAUUCCAAAUCCAAUUCUAUAGCACAUCAAACAUUCCAAAUCCAAAUCACAACAACAAGAAACAUCAAAUUCCAAAUCCAAUACAUCCUAUUCCAAAUCAGCAACAUGCCAGCAGAAAAUCAAACAUUCCAAAUCAUUUGCACACACUCUGCGGCUCCCUGCAUCAUUUGCACCAUAUAUUGGAUGUACUUUUCGAAGUGUUCUCCAUUUGCAAGAGUAAUAUCCCCAAAGGAUGAGAAUGUAGGAGGUUUGACAGAACGGUGUAGUUCACCACUAGAGAGAUCCUUGAGGAGAAGAGUCAUGAUCCCAUCACAGUAUGGCAAGAUCUUGCCAUCUAAAGCACGACAAAUACCGCCAACCACCCCAACUGCGAUCGCACAGACCAGUUGCUCAAAAUUUUGAAGACCCACAGUAAGCAUUGCUUCUUCAUGUACUCUUGUUUUUCCCUAUCAUCUGAUGAUCCAAUUUGGAGCUCAGCUGACUUGGCCUUAGUGGGGUAAAAUCAGUGGCGGAACCAGAACCUUUUUGUAGGGGAGUCAAAAAUUUUAAACCAAGCGGCGACGGGCGGGCGGCGGCGGUAGGCGGCAGCGGCAGGAGUUGAUUGAACUAUAAUUAGAGUUUCUGCAGAAGCUCUAAAGAGUUAGAAAUACAGAGGAGGAGAAUCCGAAAAAUUUGAUGGAAGAAUUCGUAACUGUAGAGAGGCUAGAGCGAAAACUGGUUGAGUUGGAAUUAUUGCAAUAGCAGCUGUAGUUAAUGUUUUAGGCAAUUAUCAACAGCCUGCUGCCCCCCUGCCCCGGCCCCCUCCUAGUUCCGCCCACCGCCUGACCGGCGACUGCCUCCCUACCGCGUCCGGCGUCCGGGGGCAACUGCCCCCACCCGCCCCCUGGUUCCGCUAGUGGGUAAAAUCGACCCAUAAAAAUUUUAUAUCCGUCCGCUAGAAUUACUAGCGGAUGACAAAAUAUUUGCUCAUUUUUGAUUCAUAGCAAGUCGAUGGUAUGGAUCAUUGUCAUAUAUAUAUAUAUAUAUAGAUAGAUAGAGAGAGAGCAAGGAUCAAGUGCAUACUCCUUAUCUUACUCACCCGUGCUCACCCCCCUUUAGGCGACGAUUUUGGUCAUACAACCGUCGCCUAUACUUUUAGCGACGCUAUAUGUUGUCGGUCGCUAAAAGUAUAGGCGACUGUUGUAUGACCGAAACCGUCGCCUAAGGGGGGUGAGCAUGGGUGAGUAAGAUAAGGGGUAUGCAUUUGAUCCGGACCGAUAUAUAUAUAUAUAUAUAUANNNNNNNNNNNNNNNNNNNNNNNNNNNNNNNNNNNNNNNNNNNNNNNNNNNNNNNNNNNNNNNNNNNNNNNNNNNNNNNNNNNNNNNNNNNNNNNNNNNNGCUUACCCCCAUUUAGCGACGGACCGGGCUACAAUUCGGUCCUUCGCUAUAUAUAAAAUUAUCGUCUUAACUUUUAGCGACGGACAACAUAUAGCGACGGAUAACAUAUAGUGACGAACCGAACAUAUAGCGACGGAUCAAAUUAUCGUCCGGUCAGUCGCUAAAGGAAAGUGAACAAGAUGAACUAGAUAAGGGAUAAACUUAAGAUCCGGACCGUAUAUAUAUGACACUAUGGGACAUAUAGGGUAGCUUUUAUUGAUAUUUACAGUCAGUUUUUGUAAAAUUUAAAAAUAGUACUCUUUUUUGUGAGGUAAAGAAAUUAAAGUAAUUUAUUACUAGCUAUUAAUAACAAAUAAUCAUGACAUGCACCGUAAGCAAAGGUACGUUUGAUUCCAUAUUAUGAAUAAAGACUUAAAAGCAUAACCACAAAUCUAAUCUUCCAUAAACAAUUAUUAGUUUAUGCGCGUGUAUAAAUAUUUUAAUUUUCAAGUUCAACACAAUUUUUUGAAUGAAAUUGAUAAUUUUACAUGAAAAUCGUUUCUAUGAAAUUGAUAAUUUUACAUGAAAAUCGUUUCUAUAAAACUCAUAACUAAUGUUUUUAUUGUCACUAUACAUCUACAUCGACACUUUUCAUGUGAAAAUAUCAAUUUACUUUUUUGAAUUAAUCUACCAUAAUAUGUAGGAAAUUAUUAAAUUCACAAUAUUUUUUGUUAUUUUCACAACAAAUGUAUCGUUGUAGAUGUAUAGUGACGGUGAAAAUCGUCACUAUAUGAUCUAAAGCGACACUUUUAUUAUAAAAAUAAUAAUUUUUAUUAUAAAAUUAACAAUUUCUUAAUAUGUAGUGUAGUAGGUCUAGAGCUAGCCGUUGCAAUAAUGAAACUUUACUACUAUUUUACUACUUUAUCUAUUAUGAUCCAUACCUCAUCUAUUACAAAAACUCUACUUGGGCGAUAUAAAAAUUAAACAUGAAUAUAUUUGAAUUUUAUUUAUUUAUAUUUUAACACAAGACAAAAAUAUAAAUAAUUUAAAUUCAAAUAUACUUGUGUCUAAUUUUUCCUAUCCGCAUAAAAAAGCUCUAUCUAUUAUCUACAAUAUUAGCCUAGCCGAGGGAGGCCAUGGCCCCAUCUAGCAUUUCUAAAAUUUCACUAUAACUCUGGAGCUCUUUUAAGUGGAUAUUAAAAUUAGACAUGAAAAUUGAACAUGAAUUUAUUUGAACUUCACUUAUUUAUAUUUUUACUCAUCAUUGGAGGUCAAAAUACAAUUAAAUAAAAUUCAAAUAUAUUCAUGUCCACAUAGAAUUUUUGAUAACUCUAAAAAUUGAAUUUAAAAACCUUACCAUAUUUCUUUUGUAAUCUUUUAUGUAAAAUAUUCAACAACUAAAAAACAUAUCUAUACACUUAAUAAAGUGGUGAACCCAUUCCAAAAUAUAAUACUUUACCAAUAUCGGUAAUAAUUAACUAAAUUUUUAGUUGUUUUUCAUUUACAAAGAAAUGAAUUAUUUUACUUUUAUAAGUUAAUUGAAUUUAUUGCUUUCAUAAUUAAUUAUUUAUUAGUAACUAUAUGGGAUAGACUCAAUAAUUUUGUACAUGAGAAAGAAUAACUUAGAUUUUCAAUAUGUUCAAUUAAAUAUAAAUUUAUGUAUCUAAGAAAAUUUUGUUUUGAGUGUCGUUUUAAUUGAGAGAUUAAUUUCACUAGAACAUUUCACGCAUAAUAUAUAUAUAUACACUGCAGAAAUGAUCAAGUAAGGGAUUCCUUAUUUUUUUAAAAUGAGGGACUUUUUUUUUUGUUUUUUUUUUAAAACAACUAAAAAAAAAGUUUAAUAUUUUAUGGAACUGAAAUUUUUCCAUAAUACAAUGUUUUAGACGUGUUUUGAAUACCUAUACCAAAAAGUGGUGGUACAGUCUGCCCAGACUGUACAUACAUUUUUUGUUAUACGUACUCAAAUCACACCCAAAAUAUUGUAUUAUGAAAAAAUUUCAGUUCUAUAAAAUAUUAAACUUUUUUUUUUAGUUGUUUUAAAAAAAAAGCAAAAAAAAAGUAAAAAAAAAAAAGUCCCUCAUUUUAAGAAAGUAAGGGAUCCCUUACCUGAUCCUGACCCAUAUAUAUUGUACUUUCACAAACAUAUAGUUAUUAUAUUAAAUAUUAAUAUUACAAUUUUUCAUAAUUAUUUUGGCUCCUCCCGAUUUGAAUUCCUAGAUCGGAGUAAUAUAAUUUAUGCCAUGUUCAUAAUUGUAUCAAUUUUUUUGUAUUCUGUGUUUUAUUAUUCCAAAAGUGUUUAUAUAUAUAUAUAUAUAUAUAUAUAUAUAUAUAUAUAUGUAUUAGAAAAUAUAUACAAUAAUAUUCAAUAUAAAUUAAUACAACUCUUUAAUUAUAAUAAUAUUAUUAUAAUUAUAAUACAUACUAUACUUAUUUAUAAUAAUAUCAAAGGGGGUUGUCAAUAUGUUUAUAUUAGAGCAUCUCUAAUGUCUUUUCAACUAUUUUAGAAUACUUUAAUAGGUAAACUACAUCAGAAAAAUAAUAUUCAACAGUCUUUUCAAUUUUAGUCAUUAAAUCUGCAACCUCCUUCAUUAUUAAGGUUAAAAAUAUUUAUUACUUUUGAUGAAUUUGAUAUAAAAUUCAUUGAAUUGAAAAGACUGAUUAAACACGAAAUAUAAAAAUAAUAAAUAAUAUUUUUUAAAUUAUGAUAUAGUUCAACAAACUUUGAAGAUUUUUUUACUUGUACUCUUGAAUAUGCUCUUACUUUUUAUAGUUUUCAUUCCACGAGUGGACCCCAACCCUACGCAUGGUCCACAGUUUCUAUAGUUCAAAUUAGUCCUUCAGUCCUUGUCAUACAAUUAUACAAAGACAUACUCCCUCCCUUACUUAAUACAUGUGAUUUUAGAGUCACGUACAAAUAUUAAAAAAAAUAAUUAUAUAAUAUUAAAUGUUUAUAUUAAAAAAAGUGAGUGUUAUUUAGUGAAUAAAAAAUAAUGAAAAAAUUAAAAUUAUAUUUAAUAUUUGGAAUAAUAUUAGAAAUUAAUCAAUUAAUAUUUAAUUAAAAUUCUUAAACGACUUAUAUUAAGUGACAAAAAUACUUCUCUAAAACGACUUAUAUUAAUGAACGGAUGAAGUAUUUAUAUACAGACCACAUAAUUUUUCUAAAUAACUCCAUUAAUCUCCUUCUCGAUCGAGAUGGUAUGAUCAAUCCAAAGAAAUUAAUACAACUGAAAAAUACAUAAAUAUAAAAUAAUUUAAUUAAGAAACAACGUACUCUUAAACAUGUACAUGUAGUAUUAACUCACUUAUUUGUACACAUAACGUAAUUAAGAAAUUAAUAAAAACCAUGGAAUUCUUGCGGUGAAAAAAAACACUUAAAUGAUUAAAAAGAAAAACCAAGUUGAACCCAUAUAUAUUUCUAGUUAAUUAUAUAUGCAAAAUAAUUAACUCAAUAAUUAAGUAAUUAAUGACGUAUAUAAUUUAUUGAUUAUAUAUCUAGCUAGCUAGUUGCGAGGGCGGGUAUUCUCCGGUCCGGCAACCCCGGUGACCACCUUAGCCACGUCCAAUGCGGUAGCUUCGGGCUUCUUGUGGGAGUACAGGGUAAUGUAGCCAAUGCCCACAGCAACGGCAAACCCACCGAUAGCCAUUGUUGGACGAAAAUGCACUUUGCUCCUCUGUUGAAGAACUCCGGCUGCGUGGGCUCCGGCAUUUUGAAGUUUUGGCCUUGCCUGCUGAUCGACUCCGGCGGGUGCGUGUGAUCCGGCUGCCAUUUUCUUAUUUUAUUUCUCUCUUCUUCCUUUUAAAUAUAUAUAUAUUUUUAUGAUCUAUAUAUCUUUCUUUCUAUAUAAUUAAUGUUGUUUAAUUUAUGGGUUUUUAGGUGUGCAUGUGCAUGGUUAUGUAGAAGUUUAUAGAGAGAAGAAAUAGGGGAUGGGAGGGAGUAAUUUAAUUGGCUUCAUGACCUCUAGUUUAUCUUUUUCGCCGUUGUUUGAGGACCUACCUACCUACCUACCUACCUACCAACAUUUGACUUAAUUGAGACCAAUCUAGAUUAAAGGAAAAGGAACAAACACAAAAUGAAUCAAUGAACGGUACUUGAUUGGUUUUUUUGAUUAUUAAGUUAAUAGUCUAUUUUUUAAUAAAUUUUAAGAGUUUAUAUAUUUGUAUUAAGAAUUUUUGUAAAUAAUUUAUACUCAUAUUUAUAUCUUAAUUAUUCGGAGUGAACUAUUAAAAUGUAUUAAAAUGCAAUCAAAUAAUACCUUAAUCAAAUAUAGUUAUCGAUAAUGAUAUAUAUUGCGAAUAUUUAUAUUAUUUUUUUGAUUAUUAAUUAUAUCAAUAAGUAUUAAUGGGGAUAAAAAACCCGUAUCCAGUAUCCAACAACUCAAACUAUACAAGGGGAUGGUAUAAUUUGGGUUGCUGGAUACGAGAUCUUCGUAGUAGGAUGGAUGUCCUCCUAUAAUUUCUAGCAAUUUUAUGUAUUCAUAAGUCUUACAAUUGUAAUUUAGUAUAAAUUUAUCAUAAUACAUAGUUGGACUUUAUGAUUAUUAAAGAAAAAAGAACAUAUAUAUAUAUAUAUAUAUAUAUAUAUUCAGCAUUAAUUAAAAUUGGGUAUAAAAAGUAUUCAAUAUGGAAAAAUAUUAAGUUUUGGAUAGGGAAAGAUACCUCACGUUUUAUAAUUAAAAAAAUAUCUUUUAAUUUUUAAAAUGAGAAAAUAAUGAAUGUGUUAAUUAGUUUUCCAUUUAUUAAAGGAGUUGUCAACAUUUUGAGAGAAAAAAUUUCUCAAAACAGCUAGCGUAAAUGGUGCAUUAACAAGUUCUACCAUGUGUAUUAAUUGCACAUUUUACAUUUACACUAAAAUUAUAAUUUUUGCACCAGAAAUAUCAUUUCACUUUAUUAAGAAUAUUUUUUUUCUUUAUCAAUUUAACAAAUUUAAAUAAUAAUCUAGUAUAAGUACAUACUUAUAUGACCUGUCAAAUUGAAGGAUACACACUACAAAUGUAAGGUUCUCAGCCCUCCACGCCUCAUAAUACCUUUUCAAUAAAAGAGAACAGCUACAGGUUAUGUUCUUCAUAUAAAUAUACUACCCACCUAAAUCUCAAUCUCCCUCUCUCACACAUAUUCACACAUUGUGAGUGUAAAUGGCCAAGAAAGAGAUGGAAGUAGUAAAGGGUAUAGACCUAGAAAAGUACAUGGGCAGGUGGUAUGAAAUAGCUUCAUUCCCUUCAAGAUUUCAACCCAAAAAUGGUGUCAACACAAGGGCAACCUACACUUUGAGAGAUGAUGGUACUGUCAAUGUUCUGAAUGAGACCUGGACUGAUGGGAAAAGAGGGUUUAUUGAAGGAAGUGCUUAUAAGGCUGAUCCUUCUAGUGAUGACGCCAAACUCAAAGUCAAAUUCUAUGUUCCUCCAUUCCUCCCCAUCAUUCCUGUUGUUGGAGAUUACUGGGUUUUGUACCUUGAUGAUGAUUAUCAGUAUGCUUUGAUUGGCCAACCCUCCAGGAAGUAUCUAUGGGUAUGUUCAAUUAUUUUUUCAAUUUACAAAUAUAAUUAUGCAUAGAUUUGUAAUUCAUGUGCAGAAUUACAUAACUCCAAAUUCACAUGCAUGUACUAACUUCAACCUAAAAUUGCACAAAAUUUGUUUGUGAUGGCAAAACAUUGUAAUUGGCUACCAUUAUCGCUGCCUGGUUUUUUUUCCCUUCAAUAAUAAUUAGGAUUAAUAAAUUUGGGUUUCCUGUAUUGCUUUGGGGAGAAACUAUAUUUGACCCAUUAAAUUUAAUUAAGCUUUUUGGGUAAUAUUUAAUGGCAUCAAUUACUUGAACAAAAUAAGUGAAUAACAUUAACACUGUGAUUCAGAGGAAGGAUUCUAUUACUUUAUAGAAUUGGAUCAAAUUAAGCUUAGAACUUGGAUUAAUUCCAAGACAUGGAUUGUAUUACUCCAAAUGGUGAAUUUUACAAGUUAUAUUACAGAAUAUUUUUUUCUUUCUUGUUGUUGCCGUUAUAUUCUUAUUGUGAUUGAUUAUUGUGGAUGGUGUUUGGUUUCAGAUAUUAAGCAGGCAACCCCAUCUUGAUGAAGAAGCCUACAAUGAGCUUGUUGAAAGGGCUAAAAAUGAAGGCUAUGAUGAUGUCAGCAAACUGCACAAGACACCACAAACUGAUCCUCCACCAGAGAGUGAAGAAGAUACCAAAGGAAUUUGGUGGAUCAAAUCCAUUCUAGGUAGAUAGAAGGGAAAGGGCAGAUGGUGUGGGCACAGAUUAUAUCAGCUAUAGCCUAUAGCAAUAAAAGCGUGUAUGAGUAGUUUUUAUUUUGCUUCCAAGUUUUGCUAGUAUGAAAGUAACGUUUAGUUGUGGUACGUACGUAUGUAUUUAUUGUGAUUUGUGGGUGACUUGUUGGUAUUUUCAGUUGGAAAUGGAAGAAAUAUGAAACUUAGGUUCUAAGGAUGAGCGGUGGGGUCUUGUUCACAACUUAUAUCGGUCUUUGUCAAUCAAUGGAUUAGGUGGUGCCUACUGAAAUAUGCUUGUAACUUGAUGCGAUUGUAUCCGUAUGCAUGUGCUUUUAUAUUCCACGGUUGUUGUGUUUGCCUGUUUAGUUUGUUUAGUUGCCCAAAGAAGCUGCUGUAAACAAACAAGCAGUAAUUAACUCUUCCCAGCAUUGCUCUGCUGUCUACAUAUUUUUUUCUAGUUUAAAUUCAAGCUUACCAUUCAUAAUAAACAUUGCAGAGAUGGUUAAAUCAUGAUCACCAGGUAACCAUUGGCAUUGGGUAAGGACCAAAAGUAUAAGUUAGUAAUUGAAGAUAAAAAAAAUUGAACUAGUACACAAAAAAUCAAGGACAUUUCUGGUAGGCUUGUUUUUGAGAUAUUAUUCCUAUCCAUUUUGUAAAGAAAAGAAUGACAGGACACUGGAAUGUGCAAAAAUCCAUAUUUCAAAAUGAACUGGCUGCGGUGUUAUAUGUGGAUGCCAUAAACAACCCCAAGUAAACAAUGAGACAGAAUUGAAUUAAUGUAAACAAGAAGUAAGCAUACAAAUAGUAUAUUUUAACAAGAAAAACAUUGCCAAUAGGCCAAUACUAUUCAGUAUUUGCUUUCUUCAAUCUCACAAGCCAGGAUACAAGAGGGAAGAACCUAUGUUCCAUCUUGAAACAAUCUAUUAGCGAUAUUGACAAUAAUUUUGUGAAUCGUCAUCACAUUUAACAGUAUGACAAGGAAUCCAUGGUCGCUUCAGACGCUUUUACAAUAUUGUACAGCAUUGAUUGGUUUUCUUCGCCUGCUUGUAGAACAUCUGUUUAAGAAUAUCACCAGUAGGCUCUUGUGUCAGCAGUGACCCCGUUUAUUUUCACAGCAAUAAAACAAAGGAUCAUAACAUAGAAUUUAAAUUAUAGAUCCGUAUAAAAAAAAAUACAACUUCUUAUAAAAGAAUCCACAAUCAUGGGAAAAAAAAUAAGGGCCAUUAACAGGUGACAAGCUUCUUGAAGAGAUGAGAAAGGUCUCACAUGAAUAUACUGAAAAACAAUGAAACAUGCUUUAAAAAGCACGAGAGAUGGCAUCAAUCCGUAAAACAACCACCACCUCAACACUUGGCUUUUCCACUAGGCUAAGUGGGUUGAAUCAUGACCCAAGGAUUUUCCUUUCCUACUAUAAUUGGAAUGAAACUAUAUAGCAUACACCUCAAACUUAGCAGUCAAAUUUCACAACCUUGGAUGUUUUGUCCUCCACUGACCGGGAAUAAUUGACUUCCAAAGACGACAAAAUAACUCAAUAAAAGCAUAUUUUUAUUCAACUAAUAGACCUAACUAGCCUAGAUGUUCAUUUAUAACGUUGUUCUCAUAUGCAAAGAGGUUACAUGUUACAUGCAGGCACAAAGCCACACUGGGCUUAGUAGGUGGUCGGCCAAACCACUCAACUUUCCUCUAAUUUUAUUUUUUUAUAUAUAUAAUAUAGAGCUUAAUUGAGGACUUAAUGAAAAUCACUGGAUAAACUAUGCUUGAGCAAAUAAAGUUCAGAAAUAGUUUUAAUUAAUUUUUCCCCAGAUAGACAUACUUGCAAAAUUACACGAGCAUCUGUACAACAUAAACUAAAACCUGACCUGAACAUAACCUUCUGAAACAUUAAUAGGAAGAAAUACAAAAAAGAUAACUGGUAAACAUGGAAUGAAAAUUGAAAUCAUUUCCAUUGUAGGAAAAAUAUUUUAAAUUAUCCCCAACAAAAUACCAAAAUGCUAACAAAAUGUUUUACAAAAACACAAUGCCUGUAACUGAAACCAAAUAAAUCAGCCCAUAGAAACAGUAAAAACUGUGGACAAGCAUCUUCUCAGUAUCUACACUUAAAUACAGCAGCAAAAUCCAACUCCGGACACUAAGAAUUCAAUCAUGUUUUAUGUUAUACAUGUAUAUUAGUAUCCUCAGAAUUAGUAUAGAUCCUCAUUAUCAGAACCUGGGUCGAGUUGGACAAUGAAGGCAUGAUCCUAGCUAUAUUUUUUAAGCACAGUUUGGAAAAAGCAAAAGUUACUCGACAAUAAAGACGUACACACAUUAAAUCAUCCUAUUGAUAUUUACACCAAAUAGCUGCUGGCUUACAUGGACUCUUCAGUUGAGGGUGAUGACAUGGGUGUGGGUAUGGAUCCAUGUCGGAUCCUUCACAUGUCGAUCAGACACUUCGAGUCACCAACAAUUGAUAUUAUACCCCAUAAACUUGAUGGUAUUUUGAAUUUGAACCAAUAAUUUUGGUACUUCUUUCACUGAAUCUGUCAUACUUAAGUCAUCACAUCCCACUAAUCAUCUUCUAUAAUCAAAAUUCACACUAAAUGUUCGACAUUCUUUCACUAAAUCACAUACUAUUAACUUUAAACAACAUGACUUGUAUCCACAAAACCAUAUCUAAAAAAAAAAACUUUUUCGCUGAGUUCCCGAAUUUUAUUAUUUUAAUAAUAGACAAGUCUAACACCAACACCCGACUCCCAUACCCUAGUCCGUGUAACAUAGUAUAGUUGUAAUCAUGUGAUAAUCUAUAAACUUAUAUAGGCACAUAACAUUUGAAUCGUAGAUUUCAAAAAAGAGUUGCACAACAUUAAAGUGACGAUAGAAUACAAACUUUGCCUUGAGCAAAGUUUGUAAUUUGGUGAGUUCAACUGCGAGGGCCCAGAUCAAAUGUAUGUAGUGUGUACCUGUGAAGCUGUACUAAGAUCCGAACUCUUCUCAACUAAACUGUCCAGCUUCUCCCCUCGAGCAAGAACACUAUCGAUGGUCUUGUGCUGUAGCAAAUAAUAGCAUGCAUGACAUACAUAACAUUAGGCGAAACAAAAGAAGAGCAGAUAAAUAUGAUUUAGUGUGCAAUAGGUGAAAAUUGUCCAUUCAGGUGAACAUUGUAAAACUCUAAUCCAUAUCACCAAAAUAACAAAUAGAUCAUCUUAUCUCACCGUUACAACUAAAGUAAUUACAACAACAAUCCACGGAACAGCAGUAUGUCAUGUAUAACAGAAAGAACCCAUGGCGAUUAAGAUAUUUCAAUGCAUAGCAUUUCUAUACAAGUCAACUCCCAGAAUAAUCCAAGAUAACCAAGGUUGACUCUCCAAGUAUUCAUUGUUGGGUCCUAGCACUAGGUGAGUUGUUUUUACUUUGGUUUUUAAGCACAUUAUUUUGGAUAUUCCAUAUAUGUAACUAAAAAGUACCUUGUGCUAAGAUUUAAAACAAAAACAGUGGCUUGAAACACCCGAGACUACCUAUGAAAAAUUCUCUGAAAAACACUGGUGAAGACCAAAUGUCAAUCCAUACUGCAACCCUUUAUUCGUUUUCUUUGUCACGAGCUGCUAAAUGCAAAUGGAUUUCCUCAAUACCAAUCUCAGCUACUAGCUUAAACCGGAAAAAUGCUAAACAUCCAUUUCACUUGGGGGAAAAAGUUGGUCACUUAUCAAGGGACUUGUGAUAUAUGGAAGUGACAUGAAGGGGUCUAUGACUUGCCAGGGAUCAAUUACAUGUUUGCUAUUUUUAACACGCAAGUUGAUUGUUCGAAGUUUAAUGGCAGCUUUAUUGGGGUAUGGAGAGGAGAUAAACAAGAUCAAGCGGUCUCUCAGCCCCACUUUAUUAGAUGUGGACUAUGGACAGAAAGAAACAUUAAAAAAAAACCUUCAUAAGACGGGGCCAGUAUCAAGUUGCAGCACUUUUCAGUAGUUUUGCUCGUGGAUUUUUUGGGGGGAUGUCCAGUAUUAAGGUAUAGCAUUGUCAGUAGGUGCAGUACUUGUCCGAAGUCUUUCGAUUGGCUCCAUAUUAGGUUGGCCAUGGAAUACUGGUUUGUAGAUGUUAUGGUGGAUGCUUGGUAUCAUAGGUGUCCUUAGUGAUAGUCGGGUGCUUAUUUUUCUCUUUCUUUGUAGAAGGGUUGCACGCUGUUUAAGAGCUAUUGGCUGAAUACACUUUUCUGGUGAUAAGAUAGUUAAAUAAACUUUUUGUUUUCUUUUCUGGAAAGGUUAGAUUUGAUAGUAAAAUAAACUUCCUGUCAACUCUGUCAUAAAAUGUAAUAAAGGGGAAAAAAAAGAGAAAUAUGAAGUAAGGCCUGCAUGACACAUCAUCACUCAUCAUGUAAAAUCAGCCAGUGUCAUCAAACAAAGUUAAUUUAGAGCUCCUUUACAUUAAAAACCAUGCACUAUACAACAACAGACAACCUCAAUUUUUCUAAAAAAAAUUGUCUUUUCUGAUUUGAUAUGGUAAGGAAUUAUAGACAUAUUUGAACUAAGUGAAACCAUAUUUAUUAAUUUUCACCCCAGGUUACAAAAUCUUUCAAGUAACCAAACAGUAGUGCCACACUGCCACACUGAGAAUAUGAUCAACUGGAAAACUAGUAAUAAAUGCAAUUAAAUAUCAGGACUCACGAGUAUAAUUUUUGUUUCAUCCAGUUCCCUCUGGAUUUUCAACAACUUGUCUGCCUCAGCAGGGUCCUGAAUAAACAGAAAAUGGGGUUCAGGUUCAUCAGCAGCUCAAGUUUCAAAACUAUAUGAAAAUUUAGAGUUGAAAAAAAUGGAGAAAUACCACUAAGUCUUAUGUACCCAUCCAACAGUGAUAAAGAAACUUAAUAUCUACCUGAAAUUUUGUCAAAGCAUCAUUGAGGUAGGGCCAUGGUUGAGAGUUAUCUGCUUGCACAGUUCUCCACGACUCACCAAAAUUCUUUUGGUACUCAUCUAUUACCUGACAAGUAUUUAAUAGGUUAUCAGAUCAAAAAUUUAACAGUCUGGCACAUGAACACAUGUAUGCUUAUUAUUCUAAGAUACUAGUAGAGGUCACCACUCACCACCUUUCCCAACACUCGAACCCUUACAGAGAAUGUAGAAAUAGUUCUAAGGGUCCUUCAUGUACUUGUUUACCAUCUUAUAAGGAAUGAUGCAUUGUCCGUCCUUAUUUCCCCCCUUCUUUUCAUUUUAUAUAAUUUCUUGAUUUUUAUUAAUAAUAUAGAACAUGAGCUUACUAGCAUUUAGCAGCAAUAUGUAGAAUGAAAAUAUAGAUGGAAUACUCAAAACAUACAAAUUAUAUUACAGUUUUAGAAUAUCUAUUAUCUGUAACACAGGGUCACGAGUGUCAAACUGUAAAGUACAUGGCAACAUUAAAAGAUCACAAUGCUGGAACACAGGUGAAGCAUGUGUAUUUGAACAGAUGAUUGUAGUCAUAUAUCUAUAUAAUAAAAUAGAAUCCAUUUUGAAUCUUUCAUUUGACCAAGCACAAGAUGGUUCAGAUUCAUUCUAACUUGAUUCUUCCAACUUAAUCUAAAGGCUCAUAUUUCUUCCCGCCCAAAUCAACUUCACCCCUACACCCUACUCUCUCUCAUGUUCACACACAAAAUCUUUCUCUCUCCUCUCUUCUUCACACACACAAACAAAUAAUAAUAAUAAUUAUUAUUAUAAUAAUAGUACUAAUAGUACUAAUAAUAAUAAUUAUGCUUAUUAUAAUAGUACUACUACUACUAAUAAUAAUAGUAAUAAUAAUAAUAAUUAUUAUUAUUAUUAUAAUAGUAAUAGUAAUAGUAAUAAUAAUAAUAAUUAUAGUAAUAAUAAUAAUUAUUAUAAUAAGUAUAAUAAUUAUUCAGAUUCAUAAUUAAUAAAUAUUCAGAUUCAUUCUAAUUAAUUUGGGCGGGAAAGCACAAGUACGGAUCAGAUUAAUUCUAAUUUUAAUUCAAAAAAAUAAUUAUUAUAAUAUAAUAAUUAUUAUUAUAAUUAUAAUACUACUACUACUACUAAUACUAAUAAUAAUAAUAAUGAUAAUAAUAAUAACAAUAACAAUUAUAAUAACAAUAAUAAUACUAACAACAACAACAACAACAAUAA